GGACGCAUAGCUCAGCCGGUUAGAGCGCUCGCCUCACACGCGAGAGGUCAUGGGUUCGAGUCCCCUUGUGUCCACCA
rnacentral:tRNA from 1 species